rnacentral:rRNA from 1 species
UACGUAGGGACCAAGCGUUGUCCGGAAUCAUUGGGCGUAAAGAGCGUGUAGGCGGCCUGUUAAGUCUUGCGUGAAAUCUCGGGGCUCAACCCCGAGCGGUCGUGAGAAACUGGCAGGCUAGAGUGCGGGAGAGGAGAGUGGAAUUCCUGUGUAGCGGUGAAAUGCGUAGAUAUAGGAAGGAACACCAGUGGCGAAGGCGACCACCUGGACUGAUACUGACACUGAGGUGCGAAAGCGUGGGGAUCAAACAGG